rnacentral:rRNA from 1 species
UACGGAAGGCAGCAGUGGGGAAUAUUGCACAAUGGGCGAAAGCCUGAUGCAGCUAUGCCGCGUGUAUGAAGAAGGCCUUAGGGUUGUAAAGUACUUUCAUCGGGGAGGAAAAACAAAACUAAUAAUUUUAUUUCUUGACGUUACCCGAAAAAGAAGCACCGGCUAACUCCGUGCCAGCAGCCGCGGUAAUACGGAGGGUGCUAGCGUUAAUCAGAAUUACUGGGCGUAAAGAGCACGUAGGUGGUUUUUUUAAGUCAGAUGUGAAAUCCCUGGGCUUAACCUGGAACUGCAUUUUGAAACUGAAAUACUAGAGUAUCGUAGAGGGAGGUAGAAUUCUAGGUGUAGCGGUGAAAUGCGUAGAUAUCUGGAGGAAUACCUGUGGCGAAAGCGGCCUCCUAAACGAAUACUGACACUGAGGUGCGAAAGCGUGGGGAGCAAACGAGGGAUUAGAUACCCUCUGAGACUCAAGGCAACACAGGGGAUAGG